rnacentral:sRNA from 1 species
UGCACACACCGCCCGUCACACCAUGGGAGUGGGUUGCUCCAGAAGUAGAUAGUCUAACCCUCGGGAGGACGUUUACCACGGAGUGAUUCAUGACUGGGGUGAAGUCGUAACAAGGUAGCCCUAGGGGAACCUGGGGCUGGAUCACCUCCUUAUACGAUUUAGAACUUAUUUGUUCGUAGUGUCCACACAGAUGAUUGUUAGUUAGUUUUACCCUCUGGGUUAACUAAUUAAUAUGCUCUUUAAAAAUUUGGAAAAGCUGAUAAUAAAAUUCGUAUGAAUACAUUGUAUUUGUACAGAGUUUUCAAAAGUAAAAAAGAAUGAUAGCAGUAUCAUUCAGUGCCAAUUAAUAAUCCUCGAACGUUUAUUAAUUGGUAUCUACUUUAGUAUUCAAUAUUAACUUCUGGCGAAGUUAAACUGUCACGAAACAAAGACCCGUUUGGGUUGUAUGGUUAAGUGACUAAGCGUACACGGUGGAUGCCUUGGCAGUUGGAGGCGAUGAAGGACGUAUUAACUUGCGAUAAGCCUAGUCAAGCUAGUAAAAAGCACUUGAGACUAGGAUUUCCGAAUGGGGAAACCCACCUGCUUGCAGGUAUCGUUAACUGAAUACAUAGGUUAACGAGGCGAACGCGGAGAACUGAAACAUCUAAGUACCCGUAGGAAAAGAAAUCAACCGAGAUUCCGAUAGUAGCGGCGAGCGAAAUCGGAACAGCCCUUAAGCUUAUUAUGUGUUAAUGGAAGGCUCUGGAAAGUGCCACGAUACAGGGUGAUAGUCCCGUACAUGAAAAUGCAUUUUAAGUGAAAUCGAGUAGGUCGGAGCACGUGAAACUUUGACUGAAUAUAGGUGGACCAUCAUCUAAGGCUAAAUACUCCCAACCGACCGAUAGUGAACCAGUACCGUGAGGGAAAGG